AUAAAGGCAAACCCUAGAUUUCCGUGUCCAAUUUUGACUGUCCGUUUUAUAUGAAAUUUUUUUAUAAUUCGUAUUUUCAUUGUUGUUAGAUGAUAAAACAUGAUUAAUAUUUUAUGCGUGACUUGUCUUUUUAAUUUUUUUCAUAAUUUUUUUAAAUAAGACGGACGGUCAAACGUUGGGCACGGAAACU
rnacentral:pre_miRNA from 1 species